rnacentral:tRNA from 3 species
AGGGGUAUAGCUCAGUUGGUAGAGCAGCGGUCUCCAAAACCGCAGGUCGCGGGUUCGAAUCCUGCUGCCCCUGCCA